GACAGAGGUGCCGAGCGUUAGGCGGAAUCACUGGGCUUAAAGCGUGUGUAGGCGGGCCGUUAAGUGCCCCGUGAAAUCCCCCGGCUCAACCGGGGAACGGCGGGGCAUACUGGCGGCCUUGAGAGGCCUAGGGGCGAGCGGAACAGGCGGUGGAGCGGUGAAAUGCGUAGAUAUCGCCUGGAACGCCGACGGUGAAAACAGCUCGGCUGGGGGGCCUUCUGACGCUGAGACACGAAAA
rnacentral:rRNA from 1 species